rnacentral:piRNA from 1 species
UAGCCAUAAUGCCCCUUGAUAUUGCCGUUU